GCGGGUGUAAUUCAGUGGUAGAAUGUCUCGUUGCCAACGAGAAUGCCGUGGGUUCGAAUCCCAUCGCCCGCU
rnacentral:tRNA from 1 species